GUAACACGGUAUGCAACCUGCCCUCCGCAGGGGGAUAACCCGGAGAAAUCCGGACUAAUACCGCGUGGUACACCGGUGGGGCAUCCCACGGGUGUUAAAAGGAAGUGAUUCCGGCGGAGGAUGGGCAUGCGGCGCAUUAGCUUGUUGGCGGGGUAACGGCCCACCAAGGCGACGAUGCGUAGGGGUUCUGAGAGGAAGGUCCCCCACACUGGUACUGAGACACGGACCAGACUCCUACGGGAGGCAGCAGUGAGGAAUAUUGGUCAAUGGGCGGGAGCCUGAACCAGCCAAGUCGCGUGAGGGAAGACGGUCCUAUGGAUUGUAAACCUCUUUAGGCGGGGAGCAAUGCCGGGCACGCGUGCCCGGAGGGAGAGUACCCGCAGAAUAAGCAUCGGCUAACUCCGUGCCAGCAGCCGCGGUAAUACGGAGGAUGCGAGCGUUAUCCGGAUUUAUUGGGUUUAAAGGGUGCGUAGGCGGAUUUUUAAGUCAGCGGUAAAAUGUCCGGGCUCAACCCGGGCCGGCCGUUGAAACUGGGGAUCUUGAGUGGGCGAGAAGUAUGCGGAAUGCGUGGUGUAGCGGUGAAAUGCAUAGAUAUCACGCAGAACUCCGAUUGCGAAGGCAGCAUACCGGCGCCCGACUGACGC
rnacentral:rRNA from 1 species